rnacentral:rRNA from 1 species
UGGCUCAGGACGAACGCUGGCGGCGUGCUUAACACAUGCAAGUCGAACGAUGAAGCCCUUCGGGGUGGAUUAGUGGCGAACGGGUGAGUAACACGUGGGCAAUCUGCCCUUCACUCUGGGACAAGCCCUGGAAACGGGGUCUAAUACCGGAUAAUACUCCUGCCUGCAUGGGUGGGGGUUAAAAGCUCCGGCGGUGAAGGAUGAGCCCGCGGCCUAUCAGCUUGUUGGUGGGGUAAUGGCCCACCAAGGCGACGACGGGUAGCCGGCCUGAGAGGGCGACCGGCCACACUGGGACUGAGACACGGCCCAGACUCCUACGGGAGGCAGCAGUGGGGAAUAUUGCACAAUGGGCGAAAGCCUGAUGCAGCGACGCCGCGUGAGGGAUGACGGCCUUCGGGUUGUAAACCUCUUUCAGCAGGGAAGAAGCGAAAGUGACGGUACCUGCAGAAGAAGCGCCG